rnacentral:rRNA from 1 species
GAUGAACGCUAGCGGCAGGCAUAAUACAUGCAAGACGAACGGUAAGUUUGGUAGCAAUACUGAACCUAGAGUGUCGUACGGGUGCGUAACACGUAUGCAACCUACCUUUUACAGGAGUAUAGCUCCCGAAAGGGGAAUUAACCCUCCAUAAUAUCAUUGGAUGGCAUCAUUUGAUGAUUAAAACUGAGGUGGUAAAAGAUGGGCAUGCGUCUGAUUAGUUAGUUGGCAGUGUAACGGACUACCAAGACGAUGAUCAGUAGGGGACCUGAGAGGGUGAUCCCCCACACUGGCACUGAGAUACGGGCCAGACUCCUACGGGAGGCAGCAGUAGGGAAUAUUGGACAAUGGGUGAGAGCCUGAUCCAGCCAUGCCGCGUGCAGGAAGAAGGCGUUAUGCGUUGUAAACUGCUUUUGCCAGGGGAUAAAACGGUUCUGCGGAACUAAUUGAAGGUACCUGGUGAAUAAGCCACGGCUAACUACGUGCCAGCAGCCGCGGUAAU